CGUGCAGAGGGGUGCUGAGCAGCUGCGGAACGGGGGCAAGGGAGCACUCAGUGGCACAGCACAGGCAAACCAAAACCCAGCCCCUUCAGGAGCUUCUUGUCUCCAGCUUAAGCUACCGAGUCCCAAAGGGGCCUACCUUGUCUCUGGCGUUUCUGUUUAUUCCCUUGUCCAGCAGGAAUUUCAGAACGUCCAGGUUGCCGCCCCGGCAUGCCCAGUGCAGGGCUGUGGAUUCCAGCUGCACCAGGAAGAACAAAUGGAAGGCUUUGAAGUAAGAAGAAAUAUCGCACCUCAUCGCAGACGUCCGGAUCCCCUUUGUCUGACAAGUAUUUCUCGAUGACUGGCAGCUUGUUCUCCAGCGCAGCCCUGAAGAAGAAGGAAAAGUAAUGAUGCAUGAAGGAGAGAAGAUGGGACCUACCAGCUCUUCGACCUUCAUCACCAUCAUGUCUGCCAGCAGCCGAGGCCGUGCUCCUGCGAGGCCGAAGCUCCCAAGGGCUCGGGUGAGCUCUGCAGGGGCCGCCACGCCAGCUUCGCUUAUAUAUCUUCGGGA